rnacentral:misc_RNA from 1 species
GAAAUGCGAUAAGUAAUGUGAAUUGCAGAAUUCAGUGAAUCAUCGAAUCUUUGAACGCACCUUGCGCCCUUUGGUAUUCCGAAGAGCAUGCCUGUUUGAGUGUCAUGAAUACAUCAACCCUGACUUGGUUUACUCCUCGUCUUGGCUUGGACUUGGGUGUUUGCUGCUGCAAAGCUGCUCGCCUUAAAAGGAUUAGCUGGACCUGCUUUGCGGAUAGGUUUGACUCGGCGUAAUAAGUUAUUUCGCUGAGGACAUCUUCGGAUGGCCUGGCUGCUUUGCGACUGUCUGCUUUCUAACCUGUUCUCACUAGAGACAUGACUUUAUAUUUUGGCCUCAAAUCAGGUAGGACUACCCGCUGAACUUAA